UACGAAGGGGGCUAGCGUUGUUCGGAAUUACUGGGCGUAAAGGGCGCGUAGGCGGCCGUGCAAGUCAGAUGUGAAAGCCCUGGGCUCAACCCAGGAGGUGCAUUUGAUACUGCAUGGCUAGAGUGUCGGAGAGGAUGGUGGAAUUCCCAGUGUAGAGGUGAAAUUCGUAGAUAUUGGGAAGAACACCGGUGGCGAAGGCGACCAUCUGGACGACAACUGACGCUGAGGCGCGAAAGCGUGGGGAGCAAAC
rnacentral:rRNA from 1 species